UGGGCAACCUGCCCCUCUCUCUGGGAUAACCCCGGGAAACCGGAGCUAAUACCGGAUACUCCGGCUGGAUCGCAUGGUCCGGCCGGGAAAAGGUCCGCCGGAGAGGGAUGGGCCCGCGGCCUAUCAGCUUGUUGGUGGGGUCAUGGCACACCAAGGCGACGACGGGUAGCUGGUCUGAGAGGGCGUCCGGCCACACUGGGACUGAGACACGGCCCAGACUCCUACGGGAGGCA
rnacentral:rRNA from 1 species